GACGAACCGAGCGACCGUUGUUCGGAAUCACUGGGCUUAAAGGGCGCGUAGGCGGGCUGUCAAGUCUGGGGUGAAAUCCCGCGGCUCAACCGUGGAACUGCCUCAGAUACUGACGGCCUCGAGGGAGGUAGGGGCGAGCGGAACUGUGAGUGGAGCGGUGAAAUGCGUUGAUAUUCACAGGAACUCCGGUGGCGAAGGCGGCUCGCUGGACCUCUUCUGACGCUGAGGCGCGAAAGCUAGGGGAGCAAACGGG
rnacentral:rRNA from 1 species